rnacentral:rRNA from 1 species
CUUGACUUCCAAAUAAGAGGUCCAGCCUGCCCAGUGAAUUUUUAACGGCCGCGGUAUCCUAACCGCGCGAAGGUAGCAUAAUCACUUGUUCUUUAAAUGGGGACUCGUAUCAACGGCAUCACGAGGGUUCUACUGUCUCCUCUUUUUGAUCAGUGAAAUUGAUCUUCCCGUGAAGAAGCGGGAAUAUUAAUAUAAGACGAGAAGACCCCAUGGAGCUUUAAACCAAAUAGCAACUUAACCAUAUAUUGCCUAAUAACUUUAAGCCCGUGCUACAAGGUUUUUGGUUGGGGUGACCGCGGAGUAAAACACAUCCUCCACGACGGAAAGACUUUAAUCUUUAUUUAAGAACUACAAUUCUAGAAAUUAGUAUACUAACGUUUACUGACCCGACAAUCGAU